rnacentral:rRNA from 1 species
UGGGGAAUAUUGCACAAUGGGCGCAAGCCUGAUGCAGCCAUGCCGCGUGUGUGAAGAAGGCCUUCGGGUUGUAAAGCACUUUCAGCGAGGAGGAAGGCGUUAAGGUUAAUAACCUUAGCGAUUGACGUUACUCGCAGAAGAAGCACCGGCUAACUCCGUGCCAGCAGCCGCGGUAAUACGGAGGGUGCAAGCGUUAAUCGGAAUUACUGGGCGUAAAGCGCACGCAGGCGGUUUGUUAAGUCAGAUGUGAAAUCCCGAGCUUAACUUGGGAA